UUAGGAUCUAUCUGACGGUAAAUUCUACUAUGUAGUAACCACACCACAUUAUCUAUAACCAACAAAUUAGAUUUCUUCAUUCGAAAGAAAAGUAUAAUAAAAAUAUUUUUUUUAAUANCUAGGCAAAUGAUAUCGAAAAAUAAUAAAAUUUAUUUUCUAGGUACUCCAAAUACUCUAGAUCAAAUUUAACGGAGCCGAUCGACGAUUCGAAAGUCGCAACAUCAAAAACGAGCUGGAAGCACGGAAGGCUCCGUACUUCCGAUAGCAUAGUAGCCUCACUCAUAUAUAUAUAUAUAUAAUUGAGCUCCUAUGCUAUUAAUAGCACAAGUCAUUGGUGCUACCAAGUUUUUUGGCCAUUGGAUUAAGAGAUGUGUGGUUAGGAUGAUGUGAGUCCCCUAGGGUUGAGUGGGUAGUUGGUUAAAUAGUAUGAUCUAACGGGUGAAAAUGAUUAAAAGGGUAGAUCUAACGGUGAAAAACUUGGUAGAAUCAAGCGCUUCAUGCUAUUAAUAGCAUAGUAGCCAGACUCAUAUAUAUAUAUAUGUAUAUAUAGAGUCCGUCUCCCAUACUUUCGAAAGUACGGGAGGCCUCGUGCUUGUAAGUUGUUUUUGAUGAUAGGACGUUCGAUUCGACGAUCGGCUCCGUUAGGUAUGAUCUACCCUAUUGGAACUAUCUAGAAACCAAAUUUUAGAUUUUUUUGACAUCAUUUACUAAGCGAUCAAAAUAUCUAAAAAAUGACUAUUUUAACGAUUGAUGUGGCACAUUUUUAAGUUCAACGGUGUAGAAGUAUCCAAAUUAUAUGAAAAUUUAAUAGAAAAUUCUACUUAACAUCAGUAGUAAGAUCAAUACUUCUGAUUUAAAAUUUGAAUCCUUUAUCACUGUUUUUUAU
rnacentral:lncRNA from 1 species